UACGUAGGGCGCAAGCGUUGUCCGGAAUUAUUGGGCGUAAAGAGCUCGUAGGCGGUUUGUCGCGUCUGCUGUGAAAACUCAGGGCUUAACCCUGAGCUUGCAGUGGGUACGGGCAGACUAGAGUGCGGUAGGGGAGACUGGAAUUCCUGGUGUAGCGGUGAAAUGCGCAGAUAUCAGGAAGAACACCGGUGGCGAAGGCGGGUCUC
rnacentral:rRNA from 1 species